rnacentral:pre_miRNA from 1 species
GAUUUGAACUGAAAAGGUCAUCAAUAACAAAGUGGUAUAACUCAUCAAGAUCUACAAUUUUUAUUUGGAUCAUUCUUCAUCCGACAAUGUGAUUUGUAACAUUGUUCAUAAAAUGUACAUAUCUCUUAUAUAGUUUAUAAACUAUAAGAGAGAUAUGUAAAUUUUGUAAACAAUGUUAUUAUCACUUUACCGAAUGAAGAAAUGACCAAUAUAAAAGUUAUAGACAUUGAUAAGUUAUACAACUUUUUUGUUGAUGACAUUUUCAGUUGAAAUC